rnacentral:tRNA from 1 species
GGAGAGUUGGCUGAGUGGCCUAUAGCGCUGGUCUCGAAAACCAGUUGGGGAGCAAUUCCCUCGCAGGUUCGAAUCCUGCACUCUCCGCCA